AACCUUUACACUGCACGACAGUGCGAUAAGGGAAUCCCAAGUGCGUAGGCAUAGAGCCUACGCUUUUGUCCGCCGUAGGGAGGUGGACGAAUAAGGGCUGGGCAAGACCGGUGCCAGCCGCCGCGGUAAUACCGGCAGCCCGAGUGAUGGCCGAUCUUAUUGGGCCUAAAGCGUCCGUAGCUGGCCGCGCAAGUCUAUCGGAAAAUCCACCCGCUCAACGGGUGGGCGUCCGGUAGAAACUGCGUGGCUUGGGACCGGAAGGCGCGACGGGUACGUCCGGGGUAGGAGUGAAAUCCCGUAAUCCUGGACGGACCGCCGAUGGCGAAAGCACGUCGCGAAGACGGAUCCGACAGUGAGGGACGAAAGCUAGGGUCUCGAACCGGAUUAGAUACCCGGGUAGUCCUAGCCGUAAACAAUGCCUGCUAGGUGUGGCUCCCACUACGAGUGGGUGCUGUGCCGUAGGGAAGCCGCUAAGCAGGCCGCCUGGGAAGUACGUCCGCAAGGAUGAAACUUAA
rnacentral:rRNA from 1 species